UACGUAGGGGGCAAGCGUUGUCCGGAUUUAUUGGGCGUAAAGAGCGUGUAGGCGGUUUGGUAGGUCCGCUGUGAAAACUCGAGGCUUAACCUCGAGAUGUCAUCGGAAACCAUUUGGCUAGAGUCCGGAAGAGGAGAGUGGAAUUCCUGGUGUAGCGGUGAAAUGCGCAGAUAUCAGGAAGAACACCAAUGGCGAAAGCAGCUCUCUGGGACGGUACUGACGCUGAGACGCGAAAGCGUGGGGAGCGAACAGG
rnacentral:rRNA from 1 species